GCUAAGCCAUUAACAUUGAUACAAUUUUACCAAGUAUUCCGCCAGAAUAUUACAAGUGAAAAACUUAAAACUCAAAGGACUUGGCGGUGUCCCAACCUACCUAGAGGAGCCUGUCCUAUAAUCGAUACCCCCCGCUCCACCCAACCUCUACUAGCAUGCCUCAGCCUAUAUACCGCCGUCGACAGUCUACCCCAUGAGGGGCCAACAGUAGACUAAACAGUUUAACUACUAAAACGUCAGGUCAAGGUGUAGCAAAUGUUGAGGAAGUGAUUGGCUACAUUUUUUAUAACAAAAAAUACGAAAUACAACAUGAAACCCUGUAUGAAGGUGAAUUUAGCAGUAAAGUGGAUAAGAGUGUCUACUUUAACAUCGCUCUGGGACGCGC
rnacentral:rRNA from 1 species